GGUCAUUGUCAUUUCUCCCUCUCUUUUCUAGAUUGUUUUUCAAGUAUCAAGUUGGUUUGUAGACUUUCACAGAAGAACAAGUAAUCUGCUGUUUUAGAUUCAUCUCCAAGAACAGUGCGAUGCCCACAGCAUGCUUAACGGUUCUCCUUGUUGAUGGCCUUUCCUGAAAGAAGAUUGAGCGCGGAGCCCAAUUAUUUGCUUUGGUUGCAAUUAUUAUUCACCGAACUCACGUUGAAGCACCUACUGUGUGCUGACUUCUCUACUUUACCCAUCAAAAUUCUGUCAGUAACUCUUACGGGCAGAUCUUCUAAGAUCCUCUAUCCCUACUUUAUAAAAGGGGAAAAAAGACGGAAAGAGUUUAAGUAAUAGAGCUGACCAAUGGUAGGGCUCAAAUUUUGGACCCACGUUUUAUAUGGCUUCUUUUUUGCUUUGGCAGUAAGUCCGAGCUUAAGAGAGGUAUAAAUGUAACACCUUACAGCUCAGAGUAUCUAGAAAUCUCUCAUUGGCUUGCUUUUCGGCUGGGUUUCCAGGAAUUAGCUGGGUCUUUCCAGGACUCUCAGCUGCCACCAGUCACAGCCAACAGCUCCAGCAGGGACGUGGGGAGAUCAAAGCCAAGAGCAAGGAGCUGGCCACCGCACAUGCCCUGUUUAUGAUGUUAAUCAAAAGCCUGGGCUUUGUGGGGAGGAGACAAAAAGCUCCCUCAUAAAAACCCGAGAUGGGGGGUGGGGUGGGCAGUGAGUGGCUUAAGUGCUUACCUCCUGCUGAUGACAAAAGCCGCAAUGAGAAUGACCACCAGCACCACACUGCCUGAGACGGAGACCAGGAGGACUGUGGAGUUAGCCCCAUCUCCGAUGAUCCGGGAGGGCACUGGCAAAGACAGUGACACAACAAUCACCUCUGGGAAGGUCCGAGGAGCUAGAACGUCUGUCUGCCUGGGGCACAAGUUCCAAAGUGCUGAAGCCAUGUGGACCGCUCAGAGCCUCUCUUGCCCUUCGUUUCAGCCCUAACGCUUAUUUAAUGAUCUGGUGUGUUCCUUAGUGAGAAGCACACUUGGAAAUUUCAAAAACGACAAGCAGGUUUGAAUACUUACCCACCCCUCACCCCAAAUCUAUCAAAACCCUGCUUACUAUUGCCCAGCUCAAAAGCCACGUCCUCUUUGAAGCCUUCCAGGAAUAUCCCCCCAAAAUGUCAAACCCCUUCAGAUUCAAUUCUAGAGUACUUCCUCUUCUGUUUUUAUAUUCAUAUUUUAUUUCACAACUUGUGAAUAAAAUUACUUUCUAGAACUGACAUUGAAAAUUCUUCUCUACCGUCUCCUUCUCAAGUAAGCUCAACUUUGGUUGGUUAAUUACACAGGGGGAGCCAUCUUAUGGAAACUGCUUAUGCAUCGGGCAUGUCCUUUGUUAACAUUUUCCAUUCAAUCAAUUAGUUGGUCCAACUCACAAUGUUGAAAGAUUUGAUAUAUUGGUCCAAAGAGGCUUUAAAAAAAAACCGAUCUGACUUGGUUAAAACAGAUUCCUAGAAAGAAAUAAAAGGGGGGG